UACGUAGGGGCCUAGCGUUGUCCGGAAUUAUUGGGCGUAAAGAGCUCGUAGGCGGUUCGGCAAGUCGGAUGUGAAAUCUCCACGCUUAACGUGGAGGGGCCAUUCGAAACUGCUGUGACUCGAGUCCGGUAGGGGAGUGUGGAAUUCCCGGUGUAGCGGUGAAAUGCGCAGAUAUCGGGAGGAACACCAGUAGCGAAGGCAGAUCUCUGGGCCGUAACUGACGCUGAGGAGCGAAAGCAUGGGGAGCGAACAGGA
rnacentral:rRNA from 1 species